rnacentral:rRNA from 1 species
UACAGAGACUGCAAGCGUUAUUCGGAUUCACUGGGCGUAAAGGGUGCGCAGGCGGCCAAGUGUGUGAGGCGUGAAAGCCCGGGGCUUAACCCCGGAAUUGCACCUCAAACUACAUGGCUAGAGCAUUGGAGAGGGUAGCGGAAUUCACGGUGUAGCAGUGAAAUGCGUAGAUAUCGUGAGGAACACCAGAGGCGAAGGCGGCUACCUGGACAAUUGCUGACGCUCAGGCGCGAAAGCGUGGGGAGCAAAAGGG